rnacentral:rRNA from 1 species
CGCAGGCUGCAACCCGCCUGCGUGAAGUCGGAAUCGCUAGUAAUCGCGGAUCAGCAUGCCGCGGUGAAUACGUUCCCGGGCCUUGUACACACCGCCCGUCACACCAUGAGAGUCGGGAACACCCGAAGUCCGUAGCCUAACCGCAAGGAGGGCGCGGCCGAAGGUGGGUUCGAUAAUUGGGGUGAAGUCGUAACAAGGUAAC